rnacentral:lncRNA from 1 species
GGGGAAGUUAUUUCUUCUUCAUGUUUGAAGGGAGAGGCACUUCACCUUCUGGUAACCAACACCACAGGCUUAUGGGGAUUACUGCAAGUUUUCUCAAGAGGGAUUUGCAGAGACAGGAUGCUAUGAAAUUACCUCUCCCAUGCCCUCCACAGUACUAAGACUGAGGUACCUGUCUACAUCAAAAGAUGAGUACUACAAUGCAGAUGACUUAGCCAGUUGGCUGACUAGGGAUGUUGGAUGCCAGGUCUCCUCAGAAAGAUCAAAGUUACAGGUGAAUGCCCAUGAUUUAAAUGGAAAUCUGAGGGAAUGAAGCAAGGACCUGUUGGAGCACCCAUGGGAAGAACCUGGGGCACAAAAGAGGAAAGCAGCAAGAGACUGACAGAGAUUGUCUCCCUAGAAACCUGGACCACGAAAAGGGUGGAGAGGAGAAAACUCUGUGCUAAAUAUUACUCCUGGAAAAGUGCAUUUGCUUCGGAGAAAUCUUUAUCAUGGGUCUCUAAGAGGAAGGAACAAUAGCAUCUUCUAUGUGCCGAGGUAGCGCAAUAAUGAACUCUGUUCAAGUGGAUCAAAAGCCAUCAAGGUCAAAAUUAGGCACAGGCUGUACAGGAAGCGUGAUUCUGGCAUCUGUUUGGUUUCUGGGAAGGCCUCAGGAAACUUAAAGUCAUGGAAGAAGGGGAAGGGAGAGCAGGCACGUCUUACAUGACCAAAGCAGGAAGAAGAGAGAGAAGUGUGGAGGUGCUAUACACUUUUAAACAGCCAGAUCUUGUGAGAACUCUGUCAGAAGAACAGCACUAGGGAAAUGGUGCUAAACCAUUCUUGGGGACUCCAUCCCUGUGAUACAAUCACCUCCCACCAGGCCCCACCUCCAACACUGAGAAUUACAACUCAACAUGAGAUUUGGAUGGGGACACAGAUCCAAACCAUAUCAAAUUUUCACACCUUUCAGUAAAGCUUUAUAUUUUUUAAGGAUAUUUAAGUACUUGGAAGUAGAAGUAGAGAGUAAGGGGAAUAUUGUACAGCCAUCACAGCCUUUGUCUACUAAAGAAGUCAGUUUCAUGUGACAAAUGUUCAUUUUAAUAUUCGCUUCUUCAGUCCAUCUGGGGGUGUUUCCUUAUUUCUAUAAGAUGCUGCUUUUCAAAAAAAUUACCGAAAGCAUUCUGGAAAUCCAAGAGUAAUUGUGUGAACUAUAAGCAUUAGAAAACACAGACAUAAGUUGAAAAUAUUUAUGAACCUAAAUAGAUGUAAAGCUAGUGACUCAUAUUUUAUAAUGUAUUCACAGAUGAUAUUUCUUAAAUAAAGUAGGCAUUUCUUUAAAAUAAAAACUCUAAUAAUAUAUGUUAUUAAGAAGAAAACUAGAAAAGGAAGAAAAAAAGUGAUGGUAUGUUUGGAAGAUGCUGAGGUGAGCUGGUGAUAAAAUUAUCUCCACUGAAAAAGGAAUACAAAGAGCAGACACUGAAUAAGCCAGACAAUGUUUGAGUUUUUUCUGAAACCACUGUGCAGUUUUGGACUUUGACCUGAUUUAAUUUUCACCUCUGUUCUUCCUCCCACUCCUUCUCUUCCUUCAUCUCAUCCUCCUCUGCCUUUUACCUCUUUUAAAAAUUGCAUUUUGCAAACAAAUACAUGUUUGCCAUCAAUGAAACUAUUUCAAGAGUUCUAUAGAGAUCAAAAUGAAGGGCUUCCUGCGUUGAUGGUUAAUUCUACCAUCUUCCCCAGGUGCAACAGCUGUUAGCAGUAUAGCCUUCAGUUACCAGUUUCAGGCAUUUACCUAUGCGUCUGAACAAAUGCAUUAAAAAAUAAUGAACACACAUGCAAACUGGUUUGUUUCCAUUUUACUUAGCUCUGUAAGGUGCCAUGUUUUACAUAUUCUGCAAAUUCUCCCCAUGUACAAUACACAUAAACCCAGUAUUAUUUUUAACAUCUCCAAUAUUUUGGUACACUUCAAUUUAUUUACCACUUGUUCCCAAUUCUUGGUGAUAUCAAUGUGUCAAGCUCUUUCAAAAGAACUUUGGUUUAUCAUCCGCCUUUCACCCUGACCAUUUAUAUGUUCAUUUUGCUUUGACAAGCAGGACUUGACUUCUUUCAGCUUCCUGACUCACUUGGAAUUGUAUCAACAGGUGACUGUUAUG